UACGGGGGGGGCAAGCGUUGUUCGGAAUUACUGGGCGUAAAGGGCUCGUAGGCGGCCAACUAAGUCAGACGUGAAAUCCCUCGGCUUAACCGGGGAACUGCGUCUGAUACUGGAUGGCUUGAGUUUGGGAGAGGGACGCGGAAUUCCCGGUGUAGCGGUGAAAUGCGCAGAUAUCAGGAGGAACACCGAUGGCGAAGGCAGGUCUCUGGGCUGUAACUGACGCUGAGGAGCGAAAGCAUGGGGAGCGAACAGG
rnacentral:rRNA from 1 species